rnacentral:rRNA from 1 species
UACGAAGGGGGCUAGCGUUGUUCGGAAUUACUGGGCGUAAAGCGCGUGUAGGCGGCCAGGUAAGUCCGUUCUGAAAGCCCGGGGCUCAACCCCGGGAGGCGGAUGGAUACUGCUUGGCUCGAGUCCGGAAGAGGCGAGUGGAAUUCCCGGUGUAGCGGUGAAAUGCGCAGAUAUCAGGAGGAACACCGGUGGCGAAGGCGGGUCUCUGGGCAGUAACUGACGCUGAGGAGCGAAAGCGUGGGGAGCGAACAGG